rnacentral:rRNA from 1 species
AUGAGUGUGAUGAGCUGGAACUGCCGAGGGCUUGGGAACCCUCGGAUAGUUCGUGAGCUUCGCAAGAUUGUGAAGCAAAAAGGACCCGCCCUUCUGUUCUUAAUGGAAACCAAGAUAAAGGGCAAAAGAGUGGAAGAUUUGAAGUUUUCUUUAGGUUUUUCUGGUUGUUUUGCUGUUGAUAGCAACGGUCUUAGUGGUGGUGUUGGCCUUUUCUGGUCCAAA